rnacentral:tRNA from 2 species
GGUGUAGCGCAGUUGGUAGCGCGCUUGGUUCGGGACCAAGAGGUCGUGGGUUCGAAUCCCGUCACU